AUCAAUAUAGGACACGUUAUAAUCAUACAUAGUGUAUAGUUAUUAUACUUGUACCUCAAGAGUAAUAUUUGAACAAAACAUUAUCUUAUCUGUCGUAUUCGUCAACGUUCUUCGAAUUAUUUUUUUAAUUGGCCACCGACGGCACCAAUAGUGUGUGUGGUGUGUGUGUACUAUCAUCGUGUCGAUUUAUAUUUUGUCGUCGGCGUACGUGAUUUACGAUAGUAAAUAGCAAUCGUACAUAAAAAAAAAAACGUAAUUAAGAAAAAUACAACAUAUUCACGCCCGAAUAGCUAUAGCUAGUUCUGUCAAACCGCUACCAUCAAAGUUUUUUGUAUAAAUCUCGAUAACCUACUGGAAAACAUUUUUCAGCGUUUGGACUUGAUUACGUUUUGUUUUUGCAAUUUUGAGCUGACUCGACUGUUUUUUUAAAUUUUAUGAACGCCCAAAAAAACUGGAAACAAUAACCAUGUCAUCCGAAUACUCUUUAGUGCCAACUGUAGAAGAUCCAGUGUCCAGGCCGACCGAGACGACGGGCCUUUCCCGGAAAGUAGAAUACGUCGAAAAAGUACACAUUCCUGAAACUCAGUCGGUCGGCUUUAGCUUUCGUAAACUAUGGGCAUUUACGGGACCAGGUUUUCUAAUGAGCAUUGCAUAUCUCGAUCCCGGAAAUAUUGAAUCGGACUUACAGUCUGGAACUCAGGCUAAAUAUAAACUAUUAUGGAUUCUAAUGAGCGCGACCGUGUUGGGCCUUGUGAUGCAAAGGUUGUCUGCCCGUUUAGGUGUGGUCACGGGCUAUCACCUUGCCGAUAUGUGUUACCGCCAGUACAGACGGUUUCCCAGGUUGUUCGUCUGGCUCAUGAUGGAAGUAGCCAUAAUAGGAUCAGACAUGCAAGAAGUCAUCGGCACUUCUAUUGCAAUAUAUUUACUAAGUAAUAAAAUGAUACCGCUUUGGGUAGGAGUGUUGAUCACCAUCAUUGACACAUUAUCUUUUUUGAUGCUGGAUAAGUACGGACUGCGAAAAUUAGAACUAGUAUUUGGUCUGUUCAUUGUUAUUAUGGCAUUGUCGUUUGGAUACGAAUUUGCAGUCGUCAAACCAGAAAUCAAUGAAAUGGCCAAAGGAUUAGUAACUCCGUGGUGUUCAAACUGCAAAGAAUCAGCUCUUCUCCAGGCUGUUGGCAUUAUCGGCGCUAUUAUUAUGCCACACAAUCUAUACUUGCACUCAGGUUUAGUAAAGUCGAGAGAAGUAGAUAGGACAAAAAAGGACAAACUUAAAGAAGCAAACUUCUACUUUUUUAUCGAAUCCUGUGUAGCACUUUUUGUGUCAUUCGUUAUCAACGUAUGCGUCACAUCUGUUUUUGCUCACGGUUUGUAUGAAAAAACAAACAGCGAUGUGUAUGGUGUAUGCACUAGGAACAACAAUCCAUUUGCUGAUGUUUUUGCAAACAAUACCAAACAAGUAGAUGUAGACAUAUACAAGGGUGGAAUAUUCCUCGGCUGUCAAUUUGGCUUGGGCGCCAUGUACAUUUGGGCAAUCGGUAUUUUAGCUGCUGGUCAGAGUAGUACAAUGACCGGCUGUUACGCUGGUCAAUUUGUAAUGGAAGGUUUUUUGAAUCUUCAAUGGAGUCGAUGGAAAAGAGUGGCUUUCACACGGUUAGUCGCUAUUGCACCAACAUUUUAUGUGGCAUUCUUUAGCAAUAUCGAAGAACUGAGUGGCAUGAAUGAUUUGCUUAACGCUGUAAUGAGCUUGCAGUUACCAUUCGCUACUUUACCCGUUAUAGCUUUUACAAGCAAUCCUCAUAUCAUGGGAGAAUUCACUAACGGACUAGUCAACAAAGUAGUGACACUUCUGCUGUCUAUUACAAUUAUAAGUAUAAAUAUAUAUUUUGUGAUGUAUUUGUCGAUACAAAAUCUAUCUUUCAAUAUAUACCUAAUGACCGGAGUCUAUUUGUAUAGCGCAAUUUAUCUAUUAAUGUGUGGCUAUCUCGCGUUACAUCUGACAGUCAGCAUGAUGGGAGACUGUAGUGUCUGGCAUAGAAAUAAAUUAAUUUGUAAGUUAUUCGGUACAAAAAUCACUAGUCAUCACAAUCACCAUCAAGAACCCAAUUCGUUACCAAGUCAAGAUGACUUACCCGGUUUCAAGAUGUAUUCUUAAAAUGGUACUCAAUACCUGUACAAAACGGACGGUACUUAACUCGAUAGUAUUAAGCAAAAAUCAUUCUAUACAAGAAUAGAAGCCCGUGAGAUUGAGUAUUCAGAAUUUUCGAUAGAAAAUCUUUAUUUUUUUAAAAAUGUAGUACUGAAAUAGAUUUUACUAAUACGAUAAAAACUAAAAUUGGUCGUUAUUUUCAACCUUACAGUUGAAAGUUAUAUUUUUCUAUUUAUCUAAUUUGUAUUUUUUUAUUGUUGAACUUAAUCUUGAAAAUGUAUAUUACGUUUUUAUGAUGAACACAAUUCCAUUCGAAUUUUUAAACAUAUUAAUUGUAAUUUCACUGAAUAAUAUCUAUUUGGUCACGAUAUUAUUCCAUAAUAUUAUAUAUUAAUAUAUAGUGUUCCUGUUGACGUUUAAAAACUAGUUUAUAUAGAUUUUACCAAUUAAAAUUGAGAAUAAUUAUGCCAAUACGUUGUUUAUUUUGUUUUUAACUAUAACGUCCAAUUAUUAUAUUUAAUGUGAUAGUAAUAUGUUUGCUAAAAAUAUAUAUAUUUUCUUUUUAAGAUUUAUUUUUGUUAUAAAUUAUUACAAUUAUAGGACGUUACCUAUAAUUAUUUAAUUAUUGUUCGUAAUGUUUUUUUUAUUGUACCUUUAGGUUAAUUGUUG